UGGGGGUGCAUGUCAGGAGCUGUGGAAGAAAGUUGUGCUGUACCAUGGUCUCCCCUUUUGGCAAGCUGGGUGGUGCAUCUGCAGGAAUCGCCUUGACUUGGUGCAUCAUGAGAGGGAAAAUCCAGCUUGGGGCGGGAGGAGGAGGGCUCUGCCCAUAGUGGGGCAUGAGUAGGGUGACCAGACAGCAAGGAAGGAGGCCCCGAGGUAAUACUGAGAGGCAUGGAAAGGCAGAUUCUCUCUCUGGCUGGAGUUGGGUGUGAAUGGCAGCAAAUGGUGACGGUACCAAAGCUUCAGACCACAGUGAUGUUCUCAGGCUCUUCUACAGCAAUCCGAACUGUGGUCAUUCUUUUCACUCUGCUGAUAAGUGAUUGCUCCAACUAUUUUAAAACUGGACUGAAUAAUGCAUUUGAAAAAUAGGAAAUGUUCAUUCUACAUUAGCAGAGAGAAGGGCUGACUGAACUCCUAUGAAAUUGAUGCAGUAAAAUAAAUGGCAUCUUACUUCUUGGCAUACCAAGAUUAGAACAUUGAUUUUUUUAUCAUAUGUUAUGCCAUACUGUGUACGUACAGAAAAUUGCAGCCUUUCUUGUUUACAGUAUAUACCAGUUUCUUAAUUUAAUUUGAAGAGUCUCUGAAAUUAAUAUUCAAAUUCAAUCUAUAAAUUGAAAUGAAUAUUGAGAAGUCUGAUCUCCAUGUUGUAGUAACUAAAACAAUAUAAAUGUUAACAGUAUUCCCUUUAAACACAAAAUGAAAUAUAGUUAGUAGCUUGGGGUUAAGAUUUUAACUCCCUUAUAUUUAAUAUAAAAUAUCCUCCUUUGUUACAUCUAUAAACACAGAGCACAUUAGAUGAAGGAAACUUCCUUUAUCAUUAAUAGGUCACAUUAAUGUGAUAAAAAUGUCUAUGCUCUCCAUAAAUUUUAUUCUUAUUUUAA